rnacentral:rRNA from 1 species
GUGAGGUAAUGGCUCACCAAGGCUUCGACGGGUAGCCGGCCUGAGAGGGUGACCGGCCACACUGGGACUGAGACACGGCCCAGACUCCUACGGGAGGCAGCAGUGGGGAAUAUUGGACAAUGGGCGAAAGCCUGAUCCAGCAACGCCGCGUGAGGGAUGACGGCCUUCGGGUUGUAAACCUCUUUCAGCAGGGACGAAGCGAAAGUGACUUUACCUGCAGAAGAAGCACCGGCCAACUACGUGCCAGCAGCCGCGGUAAUACGUAGGGUGCGAGCGUUGUCCGGAAUUAUUGGGCGUAAAGGGCUCGUAGGCGGUUUGUCACGUCGGGAGUGAAAACUCAGGGCUUAACCCUGAGCCUGCUUCCGAUACGGGCAGACUAGAGGUAUGCAGGGGAGAACGGAAUUCCUGGUGUAGCGGUGAAAUGCGCAGAUAUCAGGAGGAACACCGGUGGCGAAGGCGGUUCUCUGGGCAUUACCUGACGCCGAGGAGCGAAAGUGUGGGGAGCGAACAGGAUUAGAUACCCUGGUAGUCCACACCGUAAACGUUGGGCGCUAGGUGUGGGACUCAUUCCACGAGUUCCGUGCCGCAGCUAACGCAUUAAGCG